AAACGCUUUUUAUUCUGUUUCUGCCGUCUCUGGACACAGAAAUGGCAGAAACGCGUUUCUUGAAACAUUAUCAAACGGGCCCUAAGACUCUGUAUUGUAAUAUUUCUGUUUUAAAAACUUGUUUUUGGGUCUGGCAAACUUUUUAUAUUUCUGUGAUAUUGGUGUGAUUCGGCAUCUUAUAUGAUAUCUAGUAAAGCCGAAAAAAAUGUUUUUGUAACCAGGAAGAAACAGAAACCUGUAUGGUUCGCACUUAACAGAAUCGUUUCUGUUAAAUUCAUUCAUCAUCUAUACUUGGUGACAGUUUUCAACCCUAAGGAUUCAACUUAGCCAUAUGCAUGCUAUGGUUUAACACAUGCAUUUAGAAAAGUAAUACAGUAAUAAUAAAUUUUAUCAUUUAUAAUUCCUAACCCAAGAUUUCCAUUGGCACCAGUAUAGCAAAAACAAGGAUCCUUGAAGCAUGACUGCAAGGCCCUAAAGGCUAUAACUAAGAUACUUGAGGCCGUAUUAACCACUCAAUUGUUAAACACUACCCAUUUAGAAAAGUAGUACAGCAGAAAAGGAAAGAGAAAAACAAUUCAUUUGAGACGCACUCACUCUGGUUGGGAAAUGGAUGAGUUAAAUUUGAAUAAUUUGAUCCAUAUUAACCACUCAUUGGAAAUGAUGCUAUAGAAGAAAGGAAAAGAGAAAAGCAAGAGCUUUACAAAUAAGAACUUUAUCCUGGCAUAAUCUAUCAUGAAAUCGUAGAUAACUAAAAGCUCGUGUAGAUUAAAUUUGAAGAAGAAGAAGAAGAAGAAGAAGAAGAAGAGGAAGAAGAAGAAGAAGAAGAAGCUCUUCAAUGUUGGAAAACUGAACUCUUGGCACUUAUAAUUUAGGGAACAACAAUUGCCAUAAUGGAUCACAAAAAAGAGUGAAAAAUGAUGAACAAGCCUCAAAUUGUGACAAUUGGGCAACAACCAUUUUACUAUUACAAUUUUGCAAUGUAAUAAAAGUAUUAGCAAAAAUUGUUGAAGGAGAAACCCUUAAAUAACUUAUGAAUUGGGUGAUCAGGAGGUAAACAGAUUAACAGAUGAACAAAGCAAUCCUCAUAAAACGAUGAUGCAUUUGCAGUUUAUCUUAUAUGUACCAAUUAUUAUUUAUUCAGCAUUUCCCAGAUAAAGAAAAACCCGAGAGAGUUGAAGACUUAGAUCAGAAAUUAGAGAAGCACAAUACCAAGUACCUGAGGAAAUGGGAAAAAACAGGAGUAAUGAGAGAGGAACGAAGGAGCAAUGAACCAACAUAAUCAUUCUUCCUUUUCCAUCGAAGCACAGUGGGGCACAAAUAGAGAAUAAUGGGGUUAAUGGAAAACAGAAGGCUGGGAAGGAAAAGGUACAUACCUUUUUCUCUGUGGUGGAGCAAAUCUUUUGCGAGAACUGAAACUCCGACAAGGAGAGGAAGAGGAAGAGGAAGAGAGGGAGCAAGAACGAGAACGUGAAUCUGAACCGGAAGUCGAGCAAGUGUGGGAUGGAGAACAUGAACCUGAGUCCGAGCUUGAAGGCGCGGCCAGACGACGACAACCAGUAAUGAGAGAUUUUUUAGAGGUAGUUAUGUUUGUAGUGGCAUUUGACAUUUAUGCCCCUCCUCACUUAAGUUGAGUCAAUUGAUUUUGCGCCUUAUGCUCAGAAUCGAUUCUGAAUAUGAAAAACAAUGUUUUUAUGUGCCAAAAAGGGGACUCCAAGUUAUAAAAAGUGCCCGGUUCAUUUAAAAAAAAUAAGAAACUGAACCGGGCAUACCAUAUAGUUUUUUGUCUAUUUCUACUCCAAAAAAUCAGAAAAACACAAGAAUCUAUUUUUCAGAACAUUGCAGUACAGAGUCUAAUAUACUGAAAAUAUUGUAACUAGACUCCUAUUAGUCCUAAACUGAAUAAGAAUUAAAGAUUAACUAAAAUUUCAGAAAUCCUAAUGAAACUUGGACUAAACAGCAUAAGAGACUCUAAAAAAACUAGGACAUAACAGCAUAAUAGUUGACCUCGUUUUUAUAUUUAAUAGAUGCAGGGAAGUUUUGCUUUUAUAUCAGCAGUGGUUCAGUUAGAACGUGAACAGGUGAUAUCUAUCACUGGCUCAAUUAGAUUGAGGUCACAGGAACAUUUAUGUGAAAUACAUGCCGGAAGGAAUUGAGUUGUGUCUGAGUCAAGUAGUUUAAAAUCCAGGCAGAGAUUGCAUUGUGCCCUCACUUGCAUUUUAUUCAUAGCAUAUUCUUUUAUUGGAUUAGUUAGUCAAUAUCACCAAGAAUCAUUGAAAUGUGGUGUUAAAGCAGUGGCUGUUGUGAGAUUUCUUUCCCUUUUUUGGGUGGUUCUAGGUGAGCGAUUGCACUGGGGUUUUUUUUUUUUUGUUUUUUGUUUUUUUGGCUUCUACAAUAGAUCAAUAAAUGGAUUGGUUUCCAAUGGAGACAGUUCUUUGUUGCUCUACUUUAUUUUCUAUCAAUGGAUUUUGCAUUUAGAGAUGUUGUUUCUCCUUCCAAUGUUAAUUUAUGUUCCAACUUGUAAAGAAAAAAGGUUUUCAUCUAUCUCAUAAAAGAAAAAGAAAAAAAAAAAAGACGAUGUUCUAUUGUCAUUUCUUUAGUAUCAAGCCACGGAUGAUGUUACCAAGGAAGUUGGAGCAGAUGAUGUGUAUCGCAUGGAUGCACAAGAAAGGGUAAUAAUCAGGCUUAUCUUGCUCUUUUGGAACCUAUACUUCUUCCUAACACUAUGAAAUUUAAUGUGUUAUUGCAGCUCCAAUUUGAACUGAACUUUUUUUCUUUGAAUCCUGAACUUAUUGUUGUGGCUUUGUGGAGAUAAUGACAAAUAAAAGGGCAAGAAGGUACUAUUGAAUAUGCAAAUAACAUGAAGUAUAGUAGUACUAUAUGACGUAUAAUCUGAUCUUUAGUUCAAGUUGAUAGGAAGUGCACCAAUUGUUAUGACUUAUACUAUGGUUAUUUAAGUAAUUUCCAAACAAUGGAAGCUACAAGAAGCUGUUUGAGUAGUACAACAGUUGUGGAUUAACCAGGUGUAUAAGGUAAGAAUGCUAUAAUCUCUACUAGAUUGCCUUCUCAUGGGGUUAAUAUUAUAAAAUGAGGUUCAACUGAUGGAGUAGUAAAACUUUGUGUAGAAUCUAUUGCAUUAGAAUCUUUAAUCUAAACAUGGGCACAUAAACCUUAAGUUUUGGAGCCUUGGCCUUUUCAGUUGCUGAAAAACGAACUUGGACUUACCUGAUUUUCUUUGUGCCCAAUGCUUGGACACCAAACAGAAACCAUUUCAUUGAAAUUCAACACUGUCAUCUUUGAAGAGCUGCAAGUAAUGGUAGUUUGGUUAGAUUAAGACAUCAUCCAUGAGCAAUAUAUGUUCUUAAGCAAUGCAACCAAUAUUUGAAUGUUAGUACUUCUAAAUAGAUAGGAUUUUUUAUAUAAGUAUUUUACCAAUGUGGUUCAUGGUUCUCUAUUUCCUUAUGACAGGACUCACAUCAUUUCCUCAUAUUAUUGAAAUAGCUAUGACCAUCAUUGAGCAAACCGGUGCCAAAUACCAUAAUUUUGUAUACUCCAUUGUUUUAUAGAGAAUAGUUAUUUAUGGCCUCUUACUCAAUUUUGAAUGGGAUGAAGAUGCAGGCAAACCAUGAUUUGAUCAAUGGAUUCCUCAAGGGCAAGUUCUGUUUCAAGUUAUGGAGAAUUGGUUUAUUUAUGUCUUGGAAGUUUAGUUUUUGGUGGCAUGUUGUACACUUCUCUGUGUUUCAGAUGGUAGUAGACAAGCUCGACGGUAAGGAGGCUUUUUCUUUUUUAAGUGCAAACUAUCUCAGUUUUUUGUUUAAUUAAAAAACAAAUUUACUUUUUAUAAUUUCCUUUUGUAGAAGAAAUGUUUAUGGCAUAAAUUAUGGUUCAAUUUUUUAGGUAUGGGUGAAAUGUUGAACCAAUGUAGGUAGUCAGAUAGUGUAUUUCUCUUGUUCUAGGAGUUUGAACAUCAGUAUCUUAUCUGUUAAUUUCAUCUCCCAUUGUGCGCUAUCUAUAAGGUCAUUUUCGUUCAUCAAUUUCUUCUCUUUUAUUUCUUUUUACAAGUUUACUGCUUAUUUGGAUCAUGGUUGACUACUUUACUCCAUAUUCUUAUUAUUUAAUUCAUUUGGAGCCCAGAUGGAGGUAUUGUGCCAGCAUCAAUGUUGGAUGCAACAUUAAGAUAUAGGAAAGGAGAAAUAUGUGAUACAGAAAAUAAAAAAUCGGUUCCUAUCUAAUCUUUCUCUCUCUCUCUCUCUCUCUCUCUCUCUCCCACCUAUUAGUCACUCCCCCUGAAAUGUCCCUUCACUACACUUCUUACAUCAUUCCCCUUUGUUUUCCUCAUACAUUAUUCCUCCCACUCCAUACGUUGUCUUCGGUUGGUUAUCUUCGAUGGAACCUGAAGUUUCUGGUGAGAAAAGCAGGAGAAUCCAUCUUAGAUUACGUUGCUAGACAAUCGGAACAGGUGAAGGAAGCGGAAGAGGAGAGUCAGGAGACCCCAAAAUCUGAGAAAUCUGAGAGUAAAGAAAUGGGUUUCGCAUCUCGAGUUUCAGAUGAGUAGAAUCAAACCCUAUUUCUCUUUUCUUUCUUUUUUUCCUUCUCUGUAACUUUUUCUCUUUCUUCUGCGCUGAUCAUACUGCUCUCUCCUUCUUGUCUGGUUCAGAAGCAUGGUUGUUCCUAUUUUUACACAAACCUUCAUUUGGUGUGAGCGCCUUUUCUGAAUCUUCUCAGUCAUUUGCCACAAUGUUUGAAGGGCUGGUUCGUUGGUUGCUGCUCGGAUUUCUCAUCCAAAAAAAUCCUGAAAGAUCAACUCAAGAUCAACUUAUGGAACGGUAACAUCUAGGGUUUGUGCAAUCUCCCUUUCCUGAUCAAAAUUUUUAUUCACCUUAACAAAUAAAAAAUAAUCUAGAAUGUUGGUGGGGUUUUGCACGAUAUGGAUUAAUGGCCCCAAAAUGGAACAUAUUCUCAUUAAUUUUUUUGUUUAUGAUAGGACUUGCAAACUUUCAUGGAUUUCCAUCAUAAAUUUAAGUAUACGACUUCAAUAUAUGGGAAUCAAGCUGUUUUUGUGUGCUGCUCUUGGUUACUUAUUCUAGUACUUUGGAUGUUUGCCUAGAUUACCAUGCCAUGAUUGCAGCUGGAUGACCAGAUCUUAUCAGACUAUGAAGCAAGGAAAGCUUCGUACAGGGGGUUGCAUGAUGGAAGACAUUUAUUUGAGGUCUGCAUCAAUGGGUCUCAAGGAGCUGGUUGUGCUAGCCAUAACUGGACUGUUGAUACUGGGAAAGUAUUUGGCAAUAUUUGGGUUCUUCAUUUUUUUGGGGAGAAGCUAAUAUAUUUAUUGGCAAAUGGCUUUGAUGUUUUAGAUGAUCCUGUUGAAAGUUUCUUAAGUGAUGCGCAUAGAAUCAUAGCUAAUGGCAAGGGAUUGAGGAGCUUGUGGCUAAUGAGACUUACGGUGGACGUCUUCUUGAGGGCAUUAUACUCAAAUCUUGUCUCCACAUGUUUUAUUUUUAGAUUUAGUAUUUCAAACUGAUAUAGUGAUCUUAAAGUUUUCAUUUAACCGUUAGAUUUAUUUCUUCUUCAUGUUGAGUUUGGAAUUCUGCACAUCUGUGUUUAGGCUAUUCUAGAAGGACAUUUGUUUCCGAGUUUGAAAAUUGGGGGUUUCUUCCAAAUUUUGAUUGGAUAUUGCUUCUAUUUGCUACAGACAUUUUGUGGAAUCUAUUUCUGAUUUUUUUUUUCUUUGUGGACUCUUACUGGUGCAAUGUUGGAUUCAUUGUUGCUUUAGGAAUGUGGAUGGAAUCGAAAAAAAUAUAAUAGGCUCUUGACUUGUGCUCCAAAGAAUGAAUUACCUUUCUUAUGUUUCCUUUUUCUCUUUAUUACUCCCCCUCUUCCACAAUCCAAUUUUAUUUUGUAGCUUUAUUGUUUUGCAUAUUAAUACUUGUGAUGUGGCAUUUUGUUCCAGGUUGAUGUUUCUUUACCUUUUAUUAUUCGGCUUAAUGGUUUUUCAACUUCUUUUUUAUGUUAUUGUGAUUGCAUCUUUUACAAAGAUUUCCUAGUGCUCCUAACAAAAGCAAUGGGUAUAUACCCAAAAAAAUAAAUUUCCCUUUUUUAUUUUAUUUAUUAUAUCCUCCUAGGUCUAUAUCAUUAGUAUUGAGAACAACACAUACUUCUUUGUGAUGCUCAUAGAAUCAUAGCUGACGACACGGGAUUGAAGAGUUUGUGGUUGAUGAGAUUUACAAUGUAGGUUUUCUUGAGGGCGUUAUUCUCAAUCUUGUUCCCACAUUUUUAUUAAUUUUUUAGGUUACUUAGUAUUUCUAAUUGAUAUAAUGAUCUUAAAGUUGGUAUUGAACCGUUAAACUUGUUUCCAUUGUUUCCUCAUUUGGUUGACUUAAGUGUAUUGCAUAUCUAAGGUUAUACAAUCCUAGAACUACAUCUGUUUCCGAGUUUGAAAUAGGCACUUUCUUCCAAAUUUUGAUUGGAUAUGUAUAUGCCUCUAUUAACUACAAACAUCUUGUGGAAUCUGUUUCUGAUUUUUUUUUUUUUUGGGUGGACUUUUACCGGUGCAAUAUUGGAUUUAUUGCUGCUUUAGGAAUGUGGAUGGAAUUGAAAAAAUAUAAUGGGCUCUUGACUUACGCUUCAAAGAAUGAGUUACUUUUCUCAUGUUUCCUUUUACUCUUUUUCCUCCCCCUCUCCUAUUAUCCAAUUUUAUUUUGUAACUUCAUGGUUUUGCAUAUUUAAUUCUUGUGAUGUGGCAUGUGGUCCGAGUUGAUGUUGAAUUACCUUUUAUUAUUUGGUUUAAUUGUUUUUUAACUUUUUGUUUACGUUAUUUUGAUUGUGCUUAUUUUUUAAAUAUUUUCUAGUGCCCCUAAUAAA